CUUCUGUAGAAAAGAAAGUAUAGUCUCCACUUACUAUAAUCCAUCGAAGCAUAACGAAUUUACCAUAGCUUCUUCUUUGUGUUUUCAUUUUUUUAACUCUUUUUUUUUUAAUUUUGUAAAACAUAUCUAUUAAAUUCUAUAUUAUAUUGUUCCCGUUGUUGCUAACCGUCUUUUGGGCUAAUUACAGCCGUUCAAAGUCCUGAACUUUUAAUCUCAGCCGUAUAAAGUCUCUAAAUUCCUUCUAGAAGCAGCAGUUCACGGCAGUUCAGCUCUCUCUCACCCAUGAUCUUGCGGUUUCCUGCAGUUUAUCAAGAUGCACCAAUCAGAAAUACAGGUUGCAAUGCGGUUUAAAAUGUGUUCCUUAUUUUCAGGGAGUUAGUGGGCAACACAUCUGCAGCAAUGGAUAUCUCGGAUGACUUCGUGGACAUUUAUGAAGACGAUCAGCCUGCAAAGAAACUGGGUUUUGAUGCAAUGACACCGAAGAAGAAUCAAAUAUGCAGCCCAAUGAAAGAUUCUCCGAAGACGGACAGUGGAAGUGUAGAGAUCAUUUCAUAUGGACAGUAUUUUAGUCCAUUCAAAUCUGAAAUGCAUAGGGAGGUUAUUGAA